CAGUAGCCGCGGUAAUACAGAGGGUGCGAGCGUUAAUCGGAUUUACUGGGCGUAAAGCGUGCGUAGGCGGCUUUUUAAGUCGGAUGUGAAAUCCCUGAGCUUAACUUAGGAAUUGCAUUCGAUACUGGGAAGCUAGAGUAUGGGAGAGGAUGGUAGAAUUCCAGGUGUAGCGGUGAAAUGCGUAGAGAUCUGGAGGAAUACCGAUAGCGAAGGCAGCCAUCUGGCCUAAUACUGACGCUGAGGUACGAAAGCAUGGGGAGCAAACAGGAUUAGAUACCCCAGUAGUCCCUGUCUCUUAUAC
rnacentral:rRNA from 1 species